UACGGGGGGAGCAAGCGUUGUUCGGAUUUACUGGGCGUAAAGGGCGCGUAGGCGGUCAGCACAAGUCAGUUGUGAAAUCUCCGGGCUUAACUCGGAAAGGUCAACUGAUACUGCGGGGCUAGAGUGCAGAAGGGGCAACUGGAAUUCUCGGUGUAGCGGUGAAAUGCGUAGAUAUCGAGAGGAACACCAGUGGCGAAGGCGACUUUCUGGCCUGUUCUUGACGCUGAGGCGCGAAAGCUAGGGGAGCAAACGGG
rnacentral:rRNA from 1 species